rnacentral:rRNA from 1 species
UACGGGGGGGGCAAGCGUUGUUCGGAAUUACUGGGCGUAAAGGGCUCGUAGGCGGCCAACUAAGUCGGACGUGAAAUCCCUCGGCUUAACCGGGGAACUGCGUCCGAUACUGGAUGGCUGGAGGUUGGGAGAGGGAUGCGGAAUUCCAGGUGUAGCGGUGAAAUGCGUAGAUAUUGGGAGGAACACCGGUGACGAAGGCGGCUACCUGGACCGGUACUGACGCUGAGGCGCGAAAGCUAGGGUAGCAAACAGG